rnacentral:tRNA from 2 species
GGCCCUGUAGCUCAGUGGUAAGUAGCGAUCCCCUCAUAAGGGAGAGGUCAUCGGUUCAAAUCCGAUUAGGGCCACCA